rnacentral:sRNA from 1 species
AGUGCGUCUGUGGAGGCGGUCCUGUGACGAAAAGCUAUUCCGAAGUUUGGAAUGUUGACGAUGGUCGUGUUAUUUUUAACUUCCUGAUAUUUGAACGGCCAGGUGUCAGCGACCAUCCUUCCGUUCCACAGAAGCGUCUCUGAAGUUUGGGUCGGAUGCGCGGGGAACCCGCGGCAGGCGCGGGGAGGAGGCCUUGGCUAGGGCGCCGGCGAGGAAAUGUGAAACUGGUCUCAAUCGGUUGACCACCGUAAGGAAAUGGGAUUUACACUGUGGACAGAGAUGUGUCCUUUUCACUUCAUUUGAACCAAUAUGCCCGUGCCCCCGUGGAGGCUGAGUUGGAAAGUGACACGAAGCUGCCCCCACAAGAGAGCAGAAAAAGAUGUUGCUGGUCCAUUUGACAAAGAAGUCCAGAGCUGCUUGUGACUUCAGUCUGGCUCUGCAGAGCCCAGGUGCUCUCUCCACCUCCUGCCAGAUUCCCCUACGAAGGCUUUGCUCUCAGACUCUCCCCUUGUGGAGACAAAAAUCCCACAGCAAGUGGAAACAGAAGUGCCUUGGAAAAAGUUC